CCGCACAGGAAUCGUCGUAGGCGGCUGGGAGCGGGUGCUCCGGCACGCCGCGGUACUCGACGGACACGGCGAUGGCGCCGGCACAGGCGGAGAGGGCGUUGAGGUAGCGGUGGUACGUCGGGGAGGCCGCCGACUCGACCAUGAAGCCGCCGCCGUGGACGUACACGAGGACGGGCAGCUUCUUGGCGCUGCCGCCUGCGGCGGCUGCCGGGAGGUAGAGGCGGACGGAGAGGCCGGUGGCCGGGUCGAUGGUGACGUCCUUGGAGGCCACGCCCGUGGUGGCGUCGAGGGAUGCCGGCACGGUGCGCGUGCCGAACAGGCGCUCGAUGUUGCCGUUCUUGUAGACGCGGAUGAAGGGGAAG